rnacentral:rRNA from 1 species
AGACGGGACCCGCACAAGCGGUGGAUGAUGUGAUUAAUUCGAUGCAACGCGAAAACCUUACCUACCCUUGACAUGUCCGGAAUCCUGCAGAGAUGCGGGAGUGCCGAAAGGGAAUCGGAACACAGGUGCUGCAUGGCUGUCGUCAGCUCGUGUCGUGAGAUGUUGGGUUAAGUCCCGCAACGAGCGCAACCCUUAUCAUUAGUUGCUACGCAAGGGCACUCUAAUGAGACUGCCGGUGACAAACCGGAGGAAGGUGGGGAUGACGUCAAGUCCUCAUGGCCCUUAUGGGUAGGGCUUCACACGUCAUACAAUGGUCGGUACAGAGGGUUGCCAAGCCGCGAGGUGGAGCCAAUCCCAGAAAGCCGAUCGUAGUCCGGAUUGUUCUCUGCAACUCGAGAGCAUGAAGUCGGAAUCGCUAGUAAUCGCGGAUCAGCAUGUCGCGGUGAAUACGUUCCCGGGUCUU